CAUCGCCUCUUGUAAGUUCUAAAAAUAAGAGGUCUAGCCUGCCCUGUGACUAUUUGUUUAACGGCCGCGGUAUUUUGACCGUGCAAAGGUAGCGCAAUCACUUGUCUUUUAAAUGAAGACCCGUAUGAAUGGCAUAACGAGGGCUUAACUGUCUCCUCUUUCCAGUCAAUGAAAUUGAUCUCCCCGUGCAGAAGCGGGGAUAAGAACAUAAGACGAGAAGACCCUAUGGAGCUUCAGACACUAAAGCAGCCUACGUUAAACACCCCCCAACAAAGGACUAAACCAAGUGCACCCUGCCCUAAUGUCUUUGGUUGGGGCGACCGCGGGGAAUUAAAGAACCCCCACGUGGACCGGGAACACUUUUCCUACAACUAAGAGCUACAGCUCUAACAAACAGAACUUCUGACCAACAAGAUCCGGCAAUGCCGAUCAACGGACCGAGUUACCCUAGGGAUAACAGCGCAAUCCUCUUUUAGAGCCCAUAUCGACAAGGGGGUUUACGACCUCGAUGUUGGAUCAGGACAUCCUAAUGGUGCAGCCGCUAUUAAGGGUUCGUUUGUUCAACGAUUAAAGUCCUACGUGA
rnacentral:rRNA from 1 species